ACUAUCGUGAGGUAGCGGGGAGAGGAAGGGAUAGCGAAAUCGUGGCUCUACGAACAGAAACGUAAUAUCAAGGCGUAUAUAGGGGAUGAGGAGGCACACAACUCUAA
rfam:Streptococcus agalactiae LMG 14747 ctg7180000010214, whole genome shotgun sequence.